AUACGGAGGGGGCUAGCGUUGUUCGGAAUUACUGGGCGUAAAGCGUACGUAGGCGGGCUAAUAAGUAAGAUGUGAAAUCCCAGGGCUCAACCCUGGAACUGCAUUUUAAACUGUUAGUCUAGAGUUAUGGAGAGGUAAGUGGAAUUCCUAGUGUAGAGGUGAAAUUCGUAGAUAUUAGGAGGAACACCAGAGGCGAAGGCGGCUUACUGGACAUAUACUGACGCUGAGGUACGAAAGUGUGGGGAGCAAACGGGAUUAGAAACCCCGGUAGUCC
rnacentral:rRNA from 1 species